UACGUAGGAGGCAAGCGUUGUCCGGAAUCACUGGGCGUAAAGCGCGUGUAGGUGGAGCAGGAAGUCUGCUGUGAAAGCGCCUGGCUUAACCGGGCGAGGUCGGUGGAAACUCCUGGGCUAGAGUCCGGAAGAGGAGAGUGGAAUUCCCGGUGUAGCGGUGAAAUGCGCAGAUAUCAGGAAGAACACCCGUGGCUAAGGCGGCUCUCUAGUACGGUACUGACGCUGAGACGCGAAAGCGUGGGGAGCGAACAGG
rnacentral:rRNA from 1 species